AUAAUCACUCGUUUACUCAUUCCAUGAGCCAUUGAACAGAAAAAUUGUGCGAAGUGAUUUCUCAAAUUGGUGGAGGAGCUGCGUUGGUUAGAGAAUUUAGAGGACGGAAUGGAGACCGAAGGAGCAAGAAGAAGAAGAAUUGGGUGUUAAAAAUGGAGUAUGAAGUGAAAGUGAAAGUGAAAACGUGUCGCAAUCAGGAAAGGUAAUGGAGUAAGAACCAGGUUCCCCACUAAGCACAUAGCAUACACUCAGAUUUACUAUUUAUGGUAAAACCCAAAGGCCAAGACAAUGUAGUCCACUCAGACACCCACCAACCCCACCCCAAUAUCCCCUCUUGUUUCCCUUCAUAAUUUUAUUUUCUUUCUUUCUCAUACAAUUUUCCUUCCAUAGUUUCAACAGCUUUAUGAUUUCUUCUUUACGUGGAAAAGAAAAAAGAAAAAAAAAAGAAAAAAAAAAAACUUUUUCCAUAGUCCAGGGAUCGCUUCCUGUGCUUGGACAGAGCCAUACGCAUCUCCUACUGAGGAAUAGGCAUCCCCACACACAUAAUCACAUAAUUGAAAUUCCUGUUUCUUUUUCUUGGGGGGAUAUUAUUGAGUAUUUUGCUAGACUUUUGUAGUGAUUGAAGCAUUAUAAAGCAUAUGGGACAUGGGUGGGCCAAAAAGCAGACUACCAGCAUAUUUCUGUACUAAUUUAGAAAAGAAGAUACCAGUGGGAGGAGGUUCUUCCACUGUUCUGUGUUGAGAUUAGGCUAGGCCUUAGUGCGGUUAAUCAAUUCUACCCUUAAAUUAUUUGCUUUGUGGAAUAUACUUUAUUACUUCACUUUUUGUUUUUUCUGCCACUCUUUCUUUCUUUCUUUCAUUCUUUCUUUUCUUUUGUUAGGGGUGUCUAUGUGGGUGAAAUUAUUUACGAGUAUAGUUACUAAAAGACAAAUAUUAUCUUAUGCAGGUUUUAGUAGGAGUGAUGGUUAAGGUUUUGUUUGAUUGUUCAAAUAUAUACAUAUAUUUGUUUUCAGAAACAUGGCAUAGAAUGAAUUGAUAAAAGUGUGUUUGAUUCAAGCAUUGAAUUCUUUCAGAAUCUAUCUCAGAAAGUAUGACGAGUUUAGAAAGCAUAAAGAUUUGGUUUUCUGUGUUCUUUGUUUAUUUUUUAUUUUUCGGAUUCUUUUAUUAAACGAAACUAUCUCAAGUCAAAAUGAGAUAUUAGUUGAAUUCAAAUUUAAACGCUUAAAAGUUAAACUAGCUGUGAUUUGUGAAAUAUAACUAUGGUUUCUUUUUCUUGCUUUCAAUAUUUUUAUAAACUUGUUUCUGGAUAAUUUUUUACCUUAGACAAUGUUUAACUAUCUUUCCAGCUUGAUGGCACGACGGCUAUUUAAUCCAUUGAACAAAUUCAUCCUGUCAUAGGCUAAGUCUUUUUAUUUAAAUGCAACGGCCAAGCUUGUUGAUGCCAUAUUUUCUAUGCUAUAUUUCCAUGCCACUCAUCACUCUCCAUUUAUUUCGGUUUUUGUAUGCUUAAGUAAUGUUGAUAAAGGCGUAGUGGCUAUCCCUCUUUUGGCAUUCAUAUGCGCUGUGUUAGAAAUUACUACAGGGUGGAACUAGCAUUUAAUUACCCUUCUUACCAGAAACUACCAAGCUUACUUUUCCCCAAAUGCUUUAAAUAUUUUGUGUUGAUGGGUAGAUUGUAGCUUGGUCAUUAUUGCCUAGUGGGCUAUUCUGUUCAAAAGUUCAUAAAACUUGUAGUCGUUGGUGUCAUGUCAUAAAUAGAACAUCCAUUUAUAGCAACGAUGGAUAUCUCAACUAUGAAAACCUUUUCCUAACGCAUUAUGAAUCAAAACAAUUACUACAGAACCAAAGAAAUUCUGCAAGUGUCAAAAAAUAUUAAGAGAAAUGAAAGAGUGAAGUCAUAUCCACCACCCAUUAUGCGACAAGAACGUUAAAUCGUGGUGCUGGGAUUGCAUAAUUUCAGAGGAUACGGAUUUGAAUAUAUUUGUGGCCACUUUGACCAAAACUCAUAAUUAGCUAAAAAUUAUGACAAAACAUACUGCAUAAUCUUGGAUAAAUUAAUUUAUGGACCAAGUUUAUCUAAUAAAGUAGGGAACAGUACGAGUAUCAACUCGUUUUGUUUAAUUUGUAUUGGUGUAUACUCACCACUUAGAAUAAUAUUUUGUUUUUAUUUAUUCUUUUUUGUUCUGUAGAAUUACUCCUAGGAACUUCCCUUUUACAAGGCAUAUAUCCUGGGUCUCUUAAUGGACAGACCUUUGUUCCUCUUCAUUGUCACACUUAAUUUCAUAAAUCCUGAGCGUGCACUUCAAUAUGAAAGGCAUUUCACCAUUACCUUUUUCUCAUCAUAUCAUAUUUCUCUCUUUUUGGUUCAUUUAAGCAUUGGCACCUUUUCUGCACGAGCACUGUUUUUUAUGAAUCUUUUCCCACUGAAAGGCUAAAACUGCUUGUUCGUUUGACACAUUUGAACUUCUAUUUCUCCUAAAAUUAACCUUAGUGAGUGGAAAAGCAUAUAGACAUGUGUGAUCAGCACUAACCUUACUGUUCAACGAUUGCCAAUGGGCUGAUAGGAACUAUAAUUCUGUAUUUCGAGUUUCAUUUAUGGAAAGUAAGGAUGAUGGAGAAAUGAAAGUUGUGAUAAGCACGAAUAAUUGCCCACCCCAUCUGUUAAUGGUCCAUUUACUACAAGAUAUGCACCUUGUAUUACUUUCUAGUUCUGUUCUUAUUUUUUCAAUUGACCAAUUAGACGUUUAGUAGUUGGCAGCCUGAUUCAACAACAUAACUAAUUGGAGAUUGCCCACUUGGAACUUUAAUGAGAAAGCAGAUACGUAUGAGAGCGAGGAAUAUAAUAUUUGUGCAUUAGUGGACGAAAGUCAAAUCCCAUCACUCUUAAUUUGAAAAAGCUUUUUCAGCAAUGAUGUUAAGUAGUUCAACUGCAAGAGUGAGAGGAAGGUUGAAUAUCUUCCCAAAAUGUUUUGAGGUUUUAUUAUCUUCUCCUUCUUAAUUUGUUUUUUCAGUGGAAACUAAUUGAAAAGCAAUUUCUUCAGUGUUUCUGGUCUCCUAAAGAAGCAACUGAUCCCUCUCUUAAUUGUAGGACUUUAUUUUCCUCAAUUUAUUGUCUAGCUCUUACAGUUUCUUGUUAGAGAUGUCAUUUGUUCAAAGACGCAUAAAGACCUGUUACGUGAGAUAGGAAGGAUUGAGUUCAAGAAUUUCUGAUGUGUUUUUGUUAAAGAUCUAAUUGAUAGAACUUCGGAAAUAUUCCCUUAACUACAUAUGAAAUAAUGUAACCCAAUUUACUUGAAUAUAUAUGUAUGUAUGUUUUUAUCUAUAGAAGAGAGAGCAUUUAGAAGAAUAACAUAAACAGCUAAGAUGUGUAAAAGCUAACAGCUCCAUGUAUAGGUAAUGAAGUUGAGGUUCGAUAUUAGACAGUUCA